ACGAUCAGUAGGGGUUCUGAGAGGAAGGUCCCCCACACUGGCACUGAGAUACGGGCCAGACUCCUACGGGAGGCAGCAGUAGGGAAUAUUGGGCAAUGGUCGGAAGACUGACCCAGCCAUGCCGCGUGCAGGAAGACGGCCUAUUGGGUUGUAAACUGCUUUUAUCUGGGAAGAAAAAGUCCAUGCGUGGAAAAUUGCCGGUACCAGAUGAAUAAGCACCGGCUAACUCCGUGCCAGCAGCCGCGGUAAUA
rnacentral:rRNA from 1 species